rnacentral:rRNA from 1 species
UGCGCAGGCGGGAGAUUAAGUCAGUGGUGAAAUCCUGCAGCUUAACUGUAGAAUUGCCAUUGAUACUGAUUUUCUUGAGUGCAGUUGAGGUGGGCGGAAUGUGUAAUGUAGCGGUGAAAUGCUUAGAUAUUACACAGAACACCGAUUGCGUAGGCAGCUCACUAAACUGUUACUGACGCUCAGGCACGAAAGCGUGGGGAGCGAACAGGAUUAGAUACCCUGGUAGUCC